CAGCACCCCACACGCACACUAAAGCGCAACAUGUGACAUCACCGAAUCAGUUUAUGAAAAAAUUCGUUCUUUUAUCUUGGCCGCCAGGCAAGCGAGUCGGCUGGGAGCGGAAACGGAAGUGCUGAAAAGCGUUCUGUCGCUCACUUCGGAAUCUUCGGCGAAUGGCCGAUGAGCAGCUAGCGUCAGGCAGCACCGUGCAAGCGGGGGAGGGACUUAAAGUGAACUGAGUGAUUCGUUCAGUGAACUUGUGUACUGAGCAACUGAAGAACUGAAGAGCGAGUCGUUCGUGGAACUUACCGUUCACGAUCCGCUAGACACGAGUGAUUCGUUAGUGAUCCGCUAAGGAGCGACGUACUAAUACGAUGGGUGAUUCGUUUGCGCAGGGAACGACGGACUACGCAGUGACCGUACUUAUGAGUGAUUUUAACCGCAAGUCCUGACGUCCUCGAGCGGACAGCGGCCGUUUCUUCAAGCUAACGGCUAAUUUUUGAGUCAGUCAAGCAUAUGAAAACAAGCACACAUAUUUAAAAUAAAUGUAAAUGAAGAAUACGUUUUUACGUACACAUACAUAUAAUUUCCUCUGUGUCUCUAAUGUGAUUAUUAAAGCUUUUUAUUUCAUAAUAUUAAUAAUAGCAACACAUUCAACUUCUAUAGCGCUUCUCAAGACACUAAUCAGGUGACAAUCACAGUAAGGCACGGGUGUCCAACUCAUUUUUGGCCACUUUGCAGUUCUGGUUCCACUCGGAGAGCCGUGAUGGCUGCAAACCAAUAUGAUUGCGUCAUAUUAUUACAUAUACACAAAUGAAUGGAUAAUUACUUUUGAAAUCAGAAGCCAGUAAAAACUGUUUGUUAUUUUAAAAGGGGGGUUGGUAACAAAAAAAUGCUUGCAAUAUCUCAAUAUUUGUAAAAGUCAAGCCAAUUUGCAAUUUUGGAAACACAAAGUCGAUGCACACUCCCACAGGCCACAUAAAAUGACCUAGUGGGCCGGAUCUGGCCCUCGGGCCACCAGUUUGACACCCGUGAGUGAGCAGAAAGCCCGGCUGGCGGGGGCUGGUGGGGGUCAGCGACGCCGUCCACCGCGGUGGAAUGCAGAAGUUGGACGUAAGCGGACGCGGAAGGCUGUUCGGUAGUGGAGCUCGCCGCACGCAUGUUCUCGACCGGUGUUCGAGAGCUUGCUGAGAGAGAGAUCAAGCAGGCACCUAAACACGCCACCAGGCUGCACGCCAUCACCAGGCUGCCAAUCAACAGAAGCCCCGCACCCACAGCCUGGAGCUCAUCUGAACACACACACACACACACACACACACACACAAGUAAGUGAUGUGUUGUGAGAAGAUGCCGACGUGGCGUUUGAGCGUUACCGGAAGAGACGGCGCCAAUGAGGCUUCCUGAGUCAAAGCAGAUCCAAACGCCACAACAGGCCACACCCAAACCCAGAGCCUGCACACAGGUCAAAGGUCAGGCGGCAUUGGCAGGGGAAAUGAAGAUUUGUUCCGACUCACCAGAAGGACGAAGCUCAGAAAAAGCAAGAAGAGCUUCACGACGUCAACUUUCACCUCCAACUUCAUCGCUGUCGGAUCUUCACACAACACACACACACACACACACUUCCUUGUACAUUUAGACUUCCUGAUUGGCAGUGAACUUUAACCCCUGGUCUCCAUGGAAGCAUGCUGAACUUUGGACAUACACACGUCAUGUGAAAAGCAGCACACACAUAACACACGUGUAAUAAUAUAAAAGUAAAUAAAAGUGUACGUUGGGAUUUGUUGUUUUGAUGUUUGACAUUCUUGAGGAUUGUGUUCAUCAAACACACACCUUUUAUGCAUGCAUGCGUGUGUGUGCGUGAGAGUUUGUUGGGAUUUGUUUUGUUGGACAUUCUUCAGGACCGUUGUCAUCGCCCCACGACUUUUGCAGUGUGAGUGUGAGUGUGUGUGUGUGUGCGCGUUGUGGUGACAUAGCCCCGCUUCGGGAGGUGACCUAUGAACUCUGCCAAGGUAACGGACAUCAUCUUCCUCAUGUUGCUCAUCUUCAUCAAAGCAGAAGUCAAGACGGCGCCUCGGAGGAUGACCUUGCGACCCCGACGCCGGAAAACAGCGACCUUUGACUACUACGACUACUAUUUUAAUUGAUUUUCACCACCACUUACAGAAAACAACUUUUUUGUUGGUGGAGUCCUCGAGCUGUGUGUGCGUGUGUGUGCGCCAUAUAUUAUAUCACCAUGAGAUGCCCUCUCAAAAAAGUGGAGAUUGAGGAACUUCUAUAUUAUUUGCAUUCAGUCAAUGUUAUGCUGUUAAAAAUGCAAACUGCAUUUUUAAAUAAAUGAACUGGCAGCCGACAAAAUUCCUGAAAACAAAACGAGAGCCUGCUGGCAGGGCGGACAAUAACGGGAUGGACAUUUUUGGCUAACGUGAGCAUUUGAUGUUGGACCUUCACUUCGUGACACCAUUGAGUGAGCAAGAUGACUGAACUUUUUUUUUUUUGCAAGCUGACUGAAGUGUUCAACAAACCGAUUUGGAGUUUGAGUGUUUUCUCUCUCUCUCCCGAUGAGAGCGGACGCGUUCAGCUUGACAACAUCCAAGUCCUCACGUCACAAGGAAAGAAGUUUUAUGAUGUAAAAGCACCUUUUCGGGGGCGAUAAUGUUGAUUUUGGAUCAUUCACACUAUCAUGGCUUAAAGUGAGAAAAAUCUCUGCACUUGAAUUUUUUUUCAAGGUGGGGUGGGGCACAACCUCGGUGGUCAGUGAGUGUGUGUGUGUGUGUGUGUAAAAGCGUGGUGGGGCGGGGUCAUGCUUCACCUUCACGCCAUGUUGCAGAUUUGAAAUAUUUACUAGACGAGGAAAAUAUGUAUAGUAACUUAUGCUUUUGGAUAAUUGCAACAAAUUUAAAAGGGACAAUUUUGGCCUAAAUGACACACAUACUUGUCUCCACAAAUUUUUAUGAUUAUGAUGCGGGCACACGAGAGAUGCAUGACUGUUUUGUGUGCGUUUCCAUGAGCAUGUCAGCCUAACAUGU